GCCUGGUCUAUUUAGUGGAGAUGACGGCGCUGUUGGACGGUAUGCGCUGGUGCGGCUGGAUGGGUUGUGGAGCCGAGGAUUAGGAGAGAGAGGAACGUCGGUGUUGACUGUCGAAACAAAUUUAAGGCCUGGUCUAUUUAGUGGAGAUGACAGAGCUGUUGGACGGUCUGUGCUUGUUGGCUUGUGGAGCAGAGGUCAAUGAGGAGAGGAACGUCAGUGCUGACUGUCGAAACAAAUUUAAGGUACAGAAGUGAACCAAUCUUUUUUUUUUUUUCUUCAGUCAAUGGACACUGUCUUGUUUACUUUCAAACUUGGCUUGUUGCAAACAUGUGCACAUAUUCAGCAUAACAUCUCUGGUCACUGAAAUGACACGCUUCUCUUUCAUCUAGAACUGCUUCAAAUGUGUAUGUGGGAAAAGUGGCUCAGAUUGCAUCACUGUCCGUGUUUUAUGUGUUGUGUGCUACAUCAAACCAGCAUUUGGAAAUGUGGCGCAUUUCCGCUGUUUAUUCUUGUGUUGAUGAAUGUGCACUGUUCCAAUAAAAUCUUCACACUCAGUAUGCUAACCUCCUCACCAACCCUUAACAGUAAACUAUAACCCCAACCCUGUACCCUCACUCCUAACCAAAACCCUCAAAUCACCUACCCUGAACGCUAACCUCCAUAAUCCCUAAGGUAAUGUUAAAUCUUAACCUUUAAUUCUCCCCUUAACCUGACAUAUUGUGUACCAUAACCCAAUUCAUCCGUAAGACUCUAAAUCCGCAACCCCUAAAUCCUAAAAUUAAACUUGAACCCUAACCCUCAUCCAUACUGCAGGCAUGUCCAGCCCUGGGCCUGGAGGGCCACUGUCCUGCCAGUUGUCCAUUCCCGGCUGCAACACACCUGAUUCAGAUGAUCAGCUCAUCAGCCAUCUCUGAAGCAGCAUUGGAACGAUCCUGAUUAUUUGAAUCGGACGUGUUGCUCCUGGCAAAGUUGGAAAAGGGUCAGGACAAGCGUCCCUUGAGGACAGUUUGGACACCCCUGCCUUUUACCCUAAUCCCCCUCACCCAAACCCUAAUUCCCUAA